CACUCACACAGGGUGGCUGGGCAUGCCCCAGCUGUCUCUGGGUGAGUACCUCUUUGAGCCCCUCACUCUCAAGCAUGACUGGCAGG
rnacentral:pre_miRNA from 1 species